rnacentral:rRNA from 1 species
AGAGUUUGAUCAUGGCUCAGAACGAACGUUAGCGGCGCGCCUAACACAUGCAAGUCGAACGCGACAGGGGCAACUCUGUUGAGUGGCGCACGGGUGAGUAACACGUAGGUAAUCUCCCCCUGAGUGGUGGAUAACUUUCCGAAAGGAGAGCUAAUACAGCAUAAGACCACGGCUUCGAAAGGAGCUGAGGUCAAAGCGGAGGAUCGUAAGACUUCGCGCUUGGGGAUGAGCCUGCGGCCCAUCAGGUAGUUGGCGGGGUAAUGGCCCACCAAGCCUUAGACGGGUAGCUGGUCUGAGAGGAUGAUCAGCCACACUGGAACUGAGACACGGUCCAGACUCCUACGGGAGGCAGCAGUGGGGAAUCUUGCGCAAUGGACGAAAGUCUGACGCAGCGACGCCGCGUGGGUGAUGAAGGCCUUCGGGUUGUAAAGCCCUGUGGGGAGGGACGAAUAAGUUGCAGCUAAUACCUGCAGCGAUGACGGUACCUCCUUAGCAAGCACCGGCUAACUCUGUGCCAGCAGCCGCGGUAAGACAGAGGGUGCAAACGUUGUUCGGAAUUACUGGGCGUAAAGCGCGUGUAGGCGGCUAUGCAAGUCGGAUGUGAAAGCCCUCGGCUCAACCGGGGAAGUGCACCCGAAACUGCAAAGCUAGAGUCUCGGAGAGGAUCGUGGAAUUCUCGGUGUAGAGGUGAAAUUCGUAGAUAUCGAGAGGAACACCGGUGGCGAAGGCGGCGAUCUGGACGAUGACUGACGCUGAGACGCGAAAGCGUGGGGAGCAAACAGGAUUAGAUACCCUAGUAGUCC